CCUACGGGAGGCAGCAGUGGGGAAUAUUGGACAAUGGGGGCAACCCUGAUCCAGCCAUGCCGCGUGUGUGAAGAAGGCCUUAGGGUUGUAAAGCGCUUUCGGCGGGGAAGAUGAUGACGGUACCCGCAGAAGAAGCUCCGGCUAACUCCGUGCCAGCAGCCGCGGUAAUACGGAGGGGGCUAGCGUUGUUCGGAAUUACUGGGCGUAAAGGGCGCGUAGGCGGAUUGUCAAGUCAGAGGUGAAAGCCCUGGGCUCAACCUGGGAACUGCCUUUGAAACUAACGGUCUAGAGUCCGAGAGAGGAUGGCGGAAUUCCCAGUGUAGAGGUGAAAUUCGUAGAUAUUGGGAAGAACACCAGCGGCGAAGGCGGCCCUCUGGACGGUGACUGACGCUGAGACGCGAAAGCGUGGGGAGCAAACAGGAUUGGAUACCCUGGUAGUCCACGCCGUAAACGUUGAGAACUAGAUGUUGGGAGGGUUACCUCUCAGUGUCGCAGCUAACGCAUUAAGUUCUCCGCCUGGGGAGUACGCCGGCAACGGUAAAACUCAAAGGAAUUGACGG
rnacentral:rRNA from 1 species